UUCCGGCGAGAUCAACAUGCUCAAGAAGAUAAAUCACUCUAACAUUGCUAGGCUCUCUGGUUUCUGUGUACACGACGGUAACACCUACCUUGCUUGCGAGUAUGUACAGAAUGGCUCGCUGGAGGAUUGGCUCCACUCUGGUAAGAAUAAUCAAACUUCUUGCGCCUUGUCAUGGAAGCAGAGACUACAGAUUGCCUAUAAUGUAGCUGAUGCCUUCAAUUACCUUCAUAACUACACCACCCCUCCCUUUGUUCAUAAAAACUUGAAUACCAGUAACGUUCUGUUAGACGGUGACAUUAGAGCCAAGAUUGUCAAUUUCGGGCUUGCAAGAAAGCUAGCCAACGAUGGACAAGGCGCCACCUGGUUGACAAGACAUGUGGUUGGCACCCAUGGUUAUAUGGCUCCGGAGUACCUUGAAAAUGGACUGAUUACCCCAAAAUUAGAUGUAUUUGCAUAUGGGGUUGUGAUACUGGAGCUGUUAUCUGGGAAAGAGGCCGUUAUCGAUGAUUCAAAUGGGGAAGAAAAGAUGCUUUUUACAUUGAUAAGGCAGGUGCUUCGAGAAGACAGCGUGGGAGAGAAACUCCAUGCCUUCAUCGAUCCUUGCAUAAGGGAUGAGUUACCACUACACUUGGCUUUUUCCAUGGCCCAACUGGCUAAAAGUUGUGUUGCUCAUGAUCCGAAUGCUCGCCCCUCUUUUCUUCAACUCUUCACGACCUUAUCAAAAAUGGUAUCUUCUUCGCUGAAUUAGGAUCCACCAGCAGGUGAGCCGUGAUUGUCCCACUACCCCGUGGCGACAGCCGCCAGAUUAUAAAUAACAUGUAAUGAUAAUAUCUUAAUAAUUUUUCUAACUUAUUGUCUUAUCCUUUAGAAUUUCUGUGAAUUUAACGCUUAAGAUGAGUUGAC
rnacentral:misc_RNA from 1 species